rnacentral:lncRNA from 1 species
CAUGGAUUGGGGAGGAAGAUUGACAGAAUCACGCAAUUGAAACGGUGAUUGAUGAAACUGAUUCAAUUAUUGCUAUGGGGUGCGAAAUUAAGGAGUUUUGAUUUGGUGUAUGCUGAUUCCCGUGAGAAUCUACGUGAGUUACAAAAUGGAGAGAAAAGAAUAUGUAUACGAGAUUUGAGAGAAUUCACAGAGAAGCAAAUAAAGAAUUGAGGUUGAGCCACGUAGGAGAGAGAGUGGCUGUGAGCUCUAAAAAAUGUAUUGCUUUAUAGAAUUGAUAGAUGUUAU